rnacentral:tRNA from 1 species
CGCGGGUGUAGCUCAGUUGGUAGAGCGAUCGCUUAGCAUGCGAUAGGUACUGGGAUCGAUACCCAGCACCUCGA